GAUGAACGCUGGCGGCGUGCCUAAUACAUGCAAGUCGAGCGAACGGACGAGAAGCUUGCUUCUCUGAUGUUAGCGGCGGACGGGUGAGUAACACGUGGAUAACCUACCUAUAAGACUGGGAUAACUUCGGGAAACCGUAGCUAAUACCGGAUAAUAUUUUGAACCGCAUGGUUCAAAAGUGAAAGACGGUCUUGCUGUCACUUAUAGAUGGAUCCGCGCUGCAUUAGCUAGUUGGUAAGGUAACGGCUUACCAAGGCAACGAUGCAUAGCCGACCUGAGAGGGUGACAGGCCACACUGGAACUGAGACAAGGUCCAGAAGCCUACGGGAGGCAGCAGUAGGGAAUCUUCCGCAAUGGGCGAAAGCCUGACGGAGCAACGCCGAGUGAGUGAUGAAGGUCUUCGGAUCGUAAAACUCUGUUAUUAGGGAAGAACAUAUGUGUAAGUAACUGGGCACAUCUUGACGGUACCUAAUCAGAAAGCCACGGCUAACUACGUG
rnacentral:rRNA from 1 species